rnacentral:rRNA from 1 species
UGGGGAAUAUUGCACAAUGGGCGCAAGCCUGAUGCAGCCAUGCCGCGUGUAUGAAGAAGGCCUUCGGGUUGUAAAGUACUUUCAGCGGGGAGGAAGGGAGUAAAGUUAAUACCUUUGCUCAUUGACGUUACCCGCAGAAGAAGCACCGGCUAACUCCGUGCCAGCAGCCGCGGUAAUACGGAGGGUGCAAGCGUUAAUCGGAAUUACUGGGCGUAAAGCGCACGCAGGCGGUUUGUUAAGUCAGAUGUGAAAUCCCCGGGCUCAACCUGGGAACUGCAUCUGAUACUGGCAAGCUUGAGUCUCGUAGAGGGGGGUAGAAUUCCAGGUGUAGCGAUGAAAUGCGUAGAGAGCUGGAGGAAUACCGGUGGCGAAGGCGGCCCCCUGGACGAAGACUGACGCUCAGGUGCGAAAGCGUGGGGAGCAAACAGG